CAGACAAAGGACUGGACUUAGAAUAGGAUUCCCAGGUUAUAAUCUACUGUUUACUUGCUGUUUUGCCUUCAAAAAAUUUUGAUUGUUGUAAAUAUCAAUUUACUUAUCUGCAAAACAGAGGUUUUAAUGUCUGUGCAUUUCAUUAAAUUGAACAGGAAGUAGUUGAAACUUACCCCCUUGAUAUUGCUGCCUAAGGGAAGUUUAAUGCCAAGAAGUGAGAUGGUAUAAGUAAACAAGCAAUUUGAUUUCAAUUCAGAUUACAAAUAAGAAAUGAUUCGUCCCUUCAAGGGAGAGUUUAAAAUGCUACUCUUAUUGCCCUUUCACUCAGAAUCCUAAUUGUAGCAGAGAAUGGAUUGGGCGAAGGAUACUCAUGAAGAUAGGAAGUAAUUAGGUUAGAAGAAGAAAAACCAAUCUAUGGUGUGAACAAGUAAAUCAUAGUACCAGCAAUUAAAUUUAUGCAUUCUCAUGUGAAAGCUACAGAAAGUAUUUGGAGGAUGUGAAUUUUGCCUAUAUACUUAAGAAUUAGGCCAACUUUUACUAUGUGACAAGGCAAUGUUACAUAAAAUUAAAUGUUCCAAGGCUAUAUUGGAUGGAGAUAGAGCCUACAUAGGAAGAAUUUUAAGAUCAUUUAAAACAUUUCCAGAUGUAAAUAUUAAGAGUUUGGUAAUUAAGAGUAAGGGGAGGUAGAAAGUGGGCACCCAAACACAGAUAUGUAUCAAAACAAAGAGGUUUUUAAAGUGUAGAAAUUACUCUAUUGAUUCCACUGAUUAAAACACUGCCAAGAAUCCCUUUGAGUGAGAAAGAACUGGAUACUGAGAUCUGAACCCAGGGGUAUGUGCAAUAUUUAGUAUGCAUGUGUAUGUGGAAUACUUCUUAUUUCAGAAUACAGUCUUAAAGGUCUGUAGUAAGUAUUCUUGUUCUAAUCACUUAUAUGAAAUCACAAUUUAAAAAGUCUAGGUUUUACUACAGGUAAGUUAUUUCAUAGAGUAAAUUUUCGAUAUAUUUAAGGAUUAAAAUAAAUUAAGUACACAAAAUUAUUUGUUCUGGAACAUACUAAGUAUAUAGGAAAUCAAGUUAUAAAUAAUUAGAUAAAGGUAGCAGAAACUGUCUUUUAUGCUAUUUAAUGGCAGAUCUCAAGUGUGAAUUAUAUUUAGUAGGCAAUGGGAAGUUACUGAAAACUUAUAUUUGAAUGUGUUAUAUCUGAAAUAGACUGUAAGAAUAAGGCUGGAUCAUCGCUUGUUAUGUGAACAUAGAUAACAAAGUUAGUCAUCCUCAUAAAACAGAAUUAUUUUCAGUCAAUAAAAUGAAGUUGUAGAUUAAUAUUGUCAUGAAAAUAUUUGUGAUAUACCACUAAAGUUUAAAAAAAAAAACUGGCUACAAAACGAUAAUGUAUAAUUUGUCCUUUGUUAAAAAUACAUGUAAAGAGUUCCUGCUGUGGCACAACGGGAUUGGCAGUGUCUCUACAGGACAUAGGUUCAAUUCCUGGCCCAGCACAGUAGGUUAAAGGAUCUAGUGUUGCUGCAGUUGCUUCAUAGGUUGCAACUGUGGCUUGAAACUGAUCCCUGGGCCUAGGAAUUCUAUAUGCCACAAGGCAGCCAAAAGGGAAAAUAAAAAUGUAAGUGUUUGUAUAUGCACAAUUAAUAUAUUCUAUGUACUUGUUACAUGCAGUUAUUUUAUUAUAAAUAUCUCCAAAGAUAUAAAUCAAGUAUAAUUUCAGCUCAUAUUAUUUUCAUAAUUAUAAUACUUUAUUAUGAAAUAUAUUUUCUAAAAGUUAUCAAUAACAUCUAAAUUGAUACUGGCAUAUUUUGGCACUCACUUCUCAAAUGUUUUGAACGCUCUACUGGAACAAAAUAUUCAGCAUCAUUCAAUAAGUUAUUUAUGUCUCUGCUACAUGAUGAUACUAAAUUUCUGAAAAAUUUGGGGGGAUAUUUAAGACUGCUUGCACUUGAAAAUAAGCAGUAAAAAUCACGUUCAUGUAAGUCAAAACUAAACAUUUUACUAUAUAUUAUUAUAAACGUAUUUUUUAUUUUCUAAUUUAUAUUAAAUCUUCAUUACUUUUUGUAAAUUGCAAAUAUCUAUAAAUCAAGCUGUAUUAGUGACAACUUAAAGCAUAUUUAAUACACUGUGGUAUUUUACAAUCUGAGAUAAAAAAGCGCACUAUAUACAUGUUUAUCUAUAGAUGUGCAUAUGUAUGUAUGUGAUUUCUGAGGAAGUUAAGAAAUUACAGGAAAAGGAAAUGUAGAUAUGCAAGAUCAUGUUAAAAAUCCAAAAGGCUUAUAAAAUAAAAUUCAUAAUCUAAUAAAAAUCAUUACUUAUAUUAUCUGAGUUAUUAUGAAAACUACAUAUAAAAUUACAUUAUUUGCUUUGUACCAAAUUAACUUCAAAUUCUUAAUCUUAGAAAAGUUUGAAUGAAAAAUACUAGUAAAAGACCAGAAUUUACUUGUUUCAGAGAAGCUGAAGAUUUUUGUAGAAUCACUUUCAUUUAAAAGUGUUGUAUUCUAUUUCUCUUAGUUAAAGAACAGGCACAGAGUCUAUCUUUAUAAACUUGUUGGAAAGAGGUAACCUGUCUACCCUGUUUUCUCUAACACAGUGUUACAUGUAAGAAACAGGUGGUGUUUAGCAGAAUGCUAUCAAAAAAACAUUUAAAUUACAACCUCUUUAAGACAGGUUCAGCAAAAUUAGUGAUUCUAUCAUUAAAUUAAAUUAAAUCAUUAAAUGAUUUUAUUAAAUUAUUAAAUUAAAUUAAAUUAUUAAAUUAGAUCAUUAAAAAAUUUUAGAAACAGCCCAUCUUAUCCAUAACUUAAUUAAGUUUACCCCUCCUUGACAUCCUUCUUCUGAUAAAUGGUUAACAAACUGGCUUACUUUCUCUCCAGUCUUAUCACUUGCUUUUUUUUCCUAGGUAUUCUAGACCCCAGAAACAUUGAGCACUUACAGUUUAUCACUUGUUCAGAUGAUCUGCCAGCGGUUCAUUCUUUCUAUGUGCCAUUCCCUUAGCCUGGGGUUGGGGCACACAGGAAAACUCCAGGUUUGUCUGGCUAACCACUCAAUCUCAUUUCUUGUUGUUUGGUUUCAUUUAAAGAUAUCGCCUCAUUUUUUUGUGGAAUUUGCCUCGACCCACCAAUAUUUAAGUAGUUAUUCCUUCCACCUGUUUUCAGAGCACACACUAUUGCGAUCCCCUGAAUUCUUUCUCAUUCUCCCUUAUAGGUUGCAGGAUUUCUGGUUGGCAUUCUCAGUGCCUAAUGUAGUACCUUAUGUUAGGCACUCAAAAAAUCUUAAUGGAUGAAUGGUGGGUUUUAAUUCAGGCAUAUGGCUCCACAGCAUUUACUGCCAAUCAAAUUCAUGAAUUAAGCGUUCCAUUCAUACUUCUGUUAUGACAGUUUAUCUUCUGAUAGCUUAAAUUAAACUAAGUGGAUUAUUUGUAAGUAUAAACAUAUGAAAGUAUUUAUUAAACCAAAUGUUUCUUAUGACAAAGAAAAUAUUUGCGAUUUAAUAAAUAUCAGUUGAUCCUAGCAAAAAGAAAUUAAAUUUCCAGCCUCCCUUGCAGUUGAGUGGGAUUAUAAGACUGAUUUGCGGUGAGUGGAAUGUAAGCAAAAGUGAUCUAUACCACUUGCAGACCUUGCCCCUAAAACUUCCCCUUUGAUCCUACACGGCCUCUCAGCAUUUGUCCCCAUGCCAGAUGGAAAGAAAGUCUAAAUAUAUCAAUAACCAUAUAGAAUCCACUAUCACCAGCAACAGCUUACAUUUGACGUUGGUUUUAACAAGGGGUUUAACUUUAGUAAAGGAACAAGGCCUGCUUUUUAGAAAUAGGGAAGCAUUAUCACUCAGUACAUUUCUAUCAAAAUAAGAUUGAGAAAAUUUAAAAACUUAGAACAUAUUAAAGCUUUUUAAUGUAGAUGGUUUUUCUUUAUUAAAAAUACUCAUGUCAAAUCUACAAAAAUAAAACCUUAAAUGUUUAGCUACUGAGAUUUUGGCAUGGCUUACCUACAGUGGCUAAAACAGUAAUUUGCAAAGUUUUCUCUAGAACAAUAAGGUGUGCAUACAAUACUGUGGGUUUGUUAUUUAAUGAUAGAAUGCUAUCUAGAAAGUUUAAACUGCAAGGCCCUUUUGAAUCACAGCUUCAAGAAAAACAAGAGGUUAUGUGAAAUUAAUUAAAAUUUUAAGAAAAAAGGAUUUUUAUCCUAACAUCCCCAUUUAUAAUGGUUUGUUUGGGAAAUUUAUAAACACCAAGUAGAAAGUGAUACAAUGAACCCAAAGUUCCUCUUAACCAGAUUCAAUAGUUAUUAAUUUUCCUUUAUUGUCCAUUUAUGGUUGAAUCUUCUCUGCAAAUCUAAGAUAUCAUGCCAUUUCAUCCAUUAAUACCUGAAAUAUUAAUCACUUUUUAAACCCUCUUUUUAACAUAAAUCAUGGCAUUUUCACAUGUAAGAGGUUUUCGUAGUUAAAAUAUCUUAUCAUCUUUUAUGUAGAACAUAUUCACGUUUUUCUAAUUUUCACACAACUCCCUUUGAUAGUUGCAUUGUCCACCAUUUCUUUGAGUUCUACUUCUACUUUCUUUUAUUCUAUGGCCUUAAUUUUUUAUAUUCCACACUAUUAACUUUUUUGAGAAGCAAGUAUUGUCCUGUAUCUUGUCACGUGAAAUAAACCUGCCUCACUGUGAUUAUACAACUUCAUAUAUUUAGUUCAUAAUUUGGUUCAUUUGGUGCCUUACAUUGUUGCCUCUGAGCUAGGUCAUAAUGUGUAGUGGAGUGGUGUGAGUAACCCUGCAGUGGAAUCUGUUGUUGCCACUGAAGUAAAUUAGGCCAAAAGAGGUAAAGAAAAAACUGGUAGAAUUCUGUUGGUAAAGGAAGGAAACAGGAAAAAAUAUAUUCCAUCUUGUGCAACUUUAAAUUCUUGAACACAUUACAUUCACAAUUGCUCUUUUAAAACCAUUGCUACUAAUUCCAUCUUUGAUUUUUCUGUGUCUGUAUCUAAUGACAGAUUUGUCUCCUGACAGUGGUUCAUAUUUUUGUAUUUCUUUGUAAGCCUAGUUAAACUUGGCUGUAUGUUCAUUACUGUGAGUCAUAUGUUGUUCAAUGCUGGAUUUUCUUGUAUUUAAGAUUAUUGAAUUUUGUUGUAGCAUAUAAUUAGUUUACCUUCUUUCACUUCUUUUGAUGUUGGAUUUCAGUUUGAACAGUUUCCAAAGAAGACUUUACUCUGGUGUUAGUUUAGUCUAGUAACUAAGAUGUAAGUGCUUUGAUCACUCUACAUGAUAACUGAAUAUUAAGGAAUAUUUUGACUGUGACUAAUGAGAAGGCCAAUUCUCUGCUCUAUAUGAUCUCCAUGAAUUGCUUCGCUACCACUUUCCAGCAGUCUCAUUCCUGACCUCUUUAUGUUUUUUCCCUUUUAUUUUAUUUUUUGUAUAAUGAUUUUUUUUCCAUUAUAGCUGGUUUACAGAUUUCUGUCAAUUUUCUACUAUACAGCAUGGUGACCCAGUUACACAUACAGGUGUACAUUCUUUUUUCUCCUAUUAUCAUGCUCCA
ensembl:lncRNA